GUGCGGCCGCGGCCGCCGCUGCGGGAGGGUUGGGGGAGGAGUUGGGAGUUUAGCGCAGACGCCGGAGUGCCAGGACAACGACCAUCCGGCCCUAGCCUGGCCGGGCGGGAGCCGGGAGCUUCCUUUUCUCAGAGCGGUCCGAAGGUGGCUCGCCUUCAGCGCCUGCUUCCGUCGACCUCGUCCUCCUCCCUGCUCCGGAGGAGCUGCGAGAUGUGGCGCCUCUGACUCCGCUUCUCCCCGCCCCUGUCACCGAGAGGGGGAACGAGCUCUCGCCCACUCGCCGGAGGAGACGGCCCUGGACUCCCAACCCCGCCGGCGAAACCAUGAGCUCCGUCCAGCAGCAGCCGCCGCCGCCGCGGAGGGUCACCAACGUGGGUUCACUGCUGCUCACCCCGCAGGAAAACGAGUCCCUCUUCACUUUCCUCGGCAAGAAAUGUGUGACUAUGUCUUCAGCAGUGGUGCAGUUAUAUGCAGCAGAUCGGAACUGUAUGUGGUCAAAGAAGUGCAGUGGUGUUGCUUGUCUUGUUAAGGACAAUCCACAGAGAUCUUAUUUUUUAAGAAUAUUUGACAUUAAGGAUGGGAAACUAUUGUGGGAACAAGAGCUAUACAAUAACUUUGUAUAUAAUAGUCCUAGAGGAUAUUUUCAUACCUUUGCUGGAGAUACUUGUCAAGUUGCUCUUAAUUUUGCCAAUGAAGAAGAAGCAAAAAAAUUCCGAAAAGCAGUUACAGACCUGUUGGGCCGUCGACAAAGGAAAUCUGAGAAAAGACGAGAUCCCCCAAAUGGUCCUAAUCUACCCAUGGCUACAGUUGAUAUAAAAAAUCCAGAAAUCACAACAAAUAGAUUUUAUGGUCCACAAGUCAACAACAUCUCCCAUACCAAAGAAAAGAAGAAAGGAAAAGCUAAAAAGAAGAGAUUAACCAAGGCAGAUAUAGGAACACCAAGCAAUUUCCAGCACAUUGGACAUGUUGGUUGGGAUCCAAAUACAGGCUUUGAUCUGAAUAAUUUGGAUCCAGAAUUGAAGAAUCUUUUCGAUAUGUGUGGAAUCUCAGAGGCACAACUUAAAGACAGAGAAACAUCAAAAGUUAUAUAUGACUUUAUUGAAAAAACAGGAGGUGUUGAAGCUGUUAAAAAUGAACUGCGAAGGCAAGCACCACCACCUCCACCACCAUCAAGGGGAGGGCCACCUCCUCCUCCUCCCCCUCCACACAACUCAGGUCCUCCUCCUCCUCCUGCCAGGGGAAGAGGCGCUCCUCCCCCACCACCUUCAAGAGCUCCCACAGCUGCACCUCCACCACCGCCUCCUUCCAGGCCAAGUGUAGCAGUCCCUCCACCACCACCAAAUAGGAUGUACCCUCCUCCACCUCCAGCCCUUCCCUCCUCAGCACCUUCAGGGCCUCCACCACCACCUCCAUCUGUGUUGGGGGUAGGGCCAGUGGCACCACCCCCACCACCUCCACCUCCACCUCCACCUGGGCCACCGCCCCCCGCUGGCCUGCCUUCUGAUGGGGACCAUCAGGUUCCAACUACUGCAGGAAACAAAGCAGCUCUUUUAGAUCAAAUUAGAGAGGGUGCUCAGCUAAAAAAAGUGGAGCAGAACAGUCGGCCAGUGUCCUGCUCUGGACGAGAUGCACUGUUAGACCAGAUACGACAGGGUAUCCAACUAAAGUCUGUGUCUGAUGGCCAAGAGUCUACACCACCAACACCUGCACCCACUUCAGGAAUUGUGGGUGCAUUAAUGGAAGUGAUGCAGAAAAGGAGCAAAGCCAUUCAUUCUUCAGAUGAAGAUGAAGAUGAAGAUGAUGAUGAAGAUUUUGAGGAUGAUGAUGAGUGGGAAGACUGAUCUAUAUAUUAUAUAUAUAUAUUUUUAAGCUGCACUGUCAAUGUAAAGACCGGGAGUUCUUCCAAGGACCACAAGGACAAACAAUGCUUCAAAUCCAACUUCCUGGCUUUAUUAUUGAUGAGAGAGAGGGAGAUCCUAACUUGGUUGCAUGUAUUUCAACCUUACUGGAAAAGAGGCAGGAAAAUAAAAUGUGGAUCUCAUAUUUGUGGAACAAAUACAAGAAACAAAUGAAAAGGCAUUAUCAUGUCCGGUUAACUAUGGGAAAACAAAGCUGUUCAUGUCUCAGUUCUAUAGUUGUCUUAAAGGCAAGUAUAAUUUAGCUCCUUAAAUCAGCGACUGACCUAAUUUUUUUUUUUUUAGCCAGGGUGGGAAUCUAAGGAGGCAGAGAACAGAAAGGAGAGUUUGUGUUUGUAAGCAUAUUGUGGUGAUCAGGGGAAUGCUAGCAAGUAGAAUUAAGAAAUGCAUUUGAAUCUCCAUUUUGAGGGACGAAAACUAGUUCUGGAGGAGGAGAUCAUAUUUGUGUUUUGUUUAUUGAGCAAGGAUGUGAAUGCAUAAGGGCCAAACUUUUCCUUAAUUGUGUUAGCUAAAGCUCAAAACUACACCUGACCAUUCAAGUGUAAGGGUUUUUUUUUUUUUUUUUUUUUUUAAGUUUUCUGAACUUUGCUAUAGAUACAAGCAUAACCCUAGUAUUUCAACCACAUUCUUUCCAACCCACCAGUAAAUGGACCUUAUGAUUCCAUUUAAGAGGCCUUGCUUUGGCCAUGGUUGAAUGUCUGGAUGCUAUAGAACAUGCUUAUAAUGGACUUGCUGCCCAGAGAUGUUUAGGAAGUUCAAGUAGAUUCUGAGCCAGAUGGUUGUUUGAGAUCUGCACCAGUGCGCAAAAGUUCUAUAGCCAACAUACUGCAUUAACUUGACAUGGUUUAGGCCAGUUAGACUGUGCAAAGAGAGGUAGUCUGCGCACACUACAUGAGCCCUUUAGCACCCUAUUUGCUUUAGCACUUUCAUCACUUUGUUUUCCGAAAACUCAAAACAGCGGAAAAACUGAUUCGUUACGGGAAUCACGGAUCUCAAAAGAUAGAAACUGCAUGAUGUUGAACAGGCAACUAGAAGAAACAACAGGUUUCAGAGAAUUAUGGCAUUGCUUCUCAGUCUUCAGUUAUUACUUCUCUUCAAAGCAUUGGUUUACUUUUUCUCUGAAUAUUAUGGUAAUAACCUUCAUUCUGCUUACAACUUGGAGAAUUUAUCCAAUGCAAUUUUGUUUUAUAGUUUCUGCCAUUCCCUCCUUCUGUCCCCCCGUUACAGCAAUGAGUACUAGUUUUCAAGUGCAGGUAUUAAGAGGGUAAUGAGGGGGGAUAUAAAAUGCACAGAGGAGGAUUUGCUUUUUCAUAUAUGGGUUCUAUAACUUGUAAGUGAAUAGAUAUUGGAGGAUGGGUGCACAGUGAAACUUUCAUGGACUUCUUGUUAGUAGUAACAAGAACACCUUCAAAUAUUCAUCCUACUUUGCAGUAGCAGUAUGUGUAUCAGUCUGUGGUGGUAUUUUUCUAAAAUACAGUUUCCAGAGGGCGCAAUUGAGCCACUUAGUUUCAUUUCCCAGUGUAGACUGCUCUCUGACUUCCUGAGGGUGGCAUCUUCAGGCCCUGUCUCCUUUCUACGAAGUGAUGGUAUGUGGACUCUCACCUAGUUUCAAACUGGACUAUUUCAUGACAGCGAUGAAGCCAUUUAGAGGGGCUUCCAAAAGUCCCAUGGCUGUACUCACCCCACUCCCAGACCUUCAUCACCAAAAUGUUUUUCCUUUGAGGAAAAUCAUAUUGAAAAGAAUUCUCAUAAUACUAACUAGUAUUUAUUGGAACACUUAUUAAGUGUUGCAUGCUACAUGAAAUGGUUUAUAUGAGUAAGAUAUCCAAUAUUUCAGCCAAAGCAAAUGAAACUUAGAUUAAAUAAUUUGCACAAAUUUAAGUAGCGAAUAAAUGUCAGAGCUGGGCUUCAAAAUAAAGUCUGUCUUAAUACAAACCCUUCACCACUAUAGUACCCUGCCUACCAGCUAGCAUUAAGACACCGGAGAUGGUCUGGAUGCAAAAAUAAAAUGGUUAUUCCAAUAUCUACUUCAAAUGUGGAGGACUUGGGAUUUUUCUGCUUAUGCACAUGCAAAGACCCAAAGAAAAAUGCAGUCACACUGUGAUUUAAAAAAAAAAAAAAAUGCAACAGAAAGGAAAAUACAUUAUAAUCAUGCAACUAAACCAGCAGCCACUAAGGCAAGUUUUAAGAUUAGAACAGCCCCAGAUUUUUUGGAGUACAUGAAUAGAAUUUUAAAAAUAUUUUAUCUGGUUUGCUCAUCCCUGAUCCCCAUUCCCUACUUCACCACCAAUGAAAUAUUUUUUCCACUUGAAAGAUUAGGUAACUGGUAUGUUUGAGUAAUCCCACAUGCUUAAUAAAUGAUUACAUAACAGUU